AUUCAGGUUGUUUUGACAAGGUCUGCAGCCUGCACUCCUUGGAAUUUCAUGGAGGAAGGACACAGAGGCGAGCAGCUGCGGGGACUUUGUUACUGAAGACAGAACUCAAUUAAUAAGCAAUUUCUAUUCACCUAUCAAACCCAAUGCAAGGGCAAGCGGGUGAUCUGCUCACCGGUGAUUAUUGCUUCAUUUAAAACACUCCUGCGUGGUAGGUUUAUGGAGACAUUAGAUGUAGCCCUGAGGCUCCUGCUGGUUAUAGAUGUGGCCAUCAGUGUCACAAAACAUUCAUUCCUGGACCUCACAAUGGAGCAGGGCAGGGAUAUGAGGUGGCCUUUUGCAGGGGGUGGGGGGAACCAAAAGAUGAAGGGAGUAAAGGCAGCCAAGCAAUCAUUAUUGAUGUAAUAAUGACCCGCAUCAACAGUGGUUUCUGCAUUGUGCAGUGCAGGAAGUGUGAUGUUUUGCUGCCUAACUCUUGACUGGGACCCAGUUGUUGUUAUGCUCCUGUUUCAAUCCAUCUGUGCUCCAUUGCCCUGUGGUCAAGGCUGCCAUUGCUGCAUGAUGGUGAUGGAUGGGACUGCAGAGAAGAGUCCUCGCCAGGGUAAAACCCAUACCUCACAUGAGGAGAAGGAAUCAUGGGACCUUCCAGGCACAGUGAUCCUCUCCAAGGUGUCAAGAAAAGAAAACCCCAUCUAGUGGAAGGGCCAACUGUGCAUGGGGCUGACUACCGAAACCUGACUGACAACCAUUACCCAGAGGACCUUUUCUUCACCCCACGACUCUGUGGAAUGACUUGCCAGAAGAGUUCUGAUAGCUAAAUGAGCUUUCAAAAUGUAAGACACAAUUAAAGACCUAUCUCUUUCG